UACGUAGGGUGCGAGCGUUAAUCGGAAUUACUGGGCGUAAAGGGUGCGCAGGCGGCUAUAUAAGUUUAGAUGUGAAAUCCCUAAGCUUAACUUAGGAAUGGCAUUUGAUACUGUAUAGCUAGAGUUUAUCAGAGGGAGGUAGAAUUCCAAGUGUAGCAGUGAAAUGCGUAGAUAUUUGGAGGAAUACCGGUGGCGAAGGCGGCCUUCUGGGAUAAAACUGACGCUCAGGCACGAAAGCGUGGGUAGCAAACAGG
rnacentral:rRNA from 1 species